rnacentral:rRNA from 1 species
UACGUAGGUGGCAAGCGUUUUCCGGAUUUAUUGGGUGUAAAGGGCGUGUAGGCGGGAAUGCAAGUCAGAUGUGAAAACUCAGGGCUCAACCCUGAGCCUGCAUUUGAAACUGUAUUUCUUGAGUGCUGGAGAGGCAAUCGGAAUUCCGUGUGUAGCGGUGAAAUGCGUAGAUAUACGGAGGAACACCAGUGGCGAAGGCGGAUUGCUGGACAGUAACUGACGCUGAGGCGCGAAAGCGUGGGGAGCAAACAGG